GCGGCUGUGGCUCAGCACGGUAGAGCACUCGCCUAGCAUGUGUGAGGCAUUGGUUCAAUCCUCAGCAGCA
rnacentral:tRNA from 1 species